rnacentral:miRNA from 1 species
UUGGCCAAAAAGUUCGUUUGGGUUUUUCCAUAACAUUGUAUGGAAGAACCCAAACAAACUUUUUGGGCUACC